UUAAGUUAUUAAGGGCGCACGGUGGAUGCCUUGGCACUAGAAGCCGAUGAAGGACGUUACUAACGACGAUAUGCUUUGGGUAGCUGUAAGUAAGCGUUGAUCCAGAGAUUUCCGAAUGGGGGAACCCAGCACAAGUUAUGUUGUGUUAUCGACAUGUGAAUACAUAGCAUGUCCGAAGGCAGACGCGGAGAACUGAAACAUCUUAGUACCCGCAGGAAGAGAAAGAAAAAUCGAUUCCCUGAGUAGCGGCGAGCGAAACGGGAAGAGCCCAAACCAAUGAGCUUGCUCAUUGGGGUUGUAGGACACUCUAUACGGAGUUACAAAGGAAUAAAUUAGACGAAUCAUCUGGAAAGUUGAACCAGAGAAGGUAAAAGUCCUGUAGUCGAAAGUUUAUUCUCUCUUGAGUGGAUCCUGAGUACGACGGAGCACGUGGAAUUCCGUCGGAAUCCGGGAGGACCAUCUCCCAAGGCUAAAUACUCUCUAGUGACCGAUAGUGAACCAGUACCGUGAGGGAAAGGUGAAAAGUACCCCGGAAGGGGAGUGAAAGAGAACUUGAAACCGUGUGCUUACAAGUAGUCAGAGCCCGUUAAUGGGUGAUGGCGUGCCUUUUGUAGAAUGAACCGGCGAGUUACGAUCUGAUGCAAGGUUAAGCAGCAAAUGCGGAGCCGCAGCGAAAGCGAGUCUGAACAGGGCGUUGAGUAUUUGGUCGUAGACCCGAAACCAGGUGAUCUACCCUUGGUCAGGUUGAAGUUCAGGUAACACUGAAUGGAGGACCGAACCGACUUACGUUGAAAAGUGAGCGGAUGAACUGAGGGUAGCGGAGAAAUUCCAAUCGAACUUGGAGAUAGCUGGUUCUCUCCGAAAUAGCUUUAGGGCUAGCCUCAAGUGAUGAUUAUUGGAGGUAGAGCACUGUUUGGACGAGGGGCCCCUCUCGGGUUACCGAAUUCAGACAAACUCCGAAUGCCAAUUAAUUUAACUUGGGAGUCAGAACAUGGGUGAUAAGGUCCGUGUUCGAAAGGGAAACAGCCCAGACCACCAGCUAAGGUCCCAAAAUAUAUGUUAAGUGGAAAAGGAUGUGGCGUUGCCCAGACAACUAGGAUGUUGGCUUAGAAGCAGCCAUCAUUUAAAGAGUGCGUAAUAGCUCACUAGUCGAGUGACACUGCGCCGAAAAUGUACCGGGGCUAAACAUAUUACCGAAGCUGUGGAUUGUCCGUAGGACAAUGGUAGGAGAGCGUUCUAAGUGCGUCGAAGCAUGAUCGCAAGGACAUGUGGAGCGCUUAGAAGUGAGAAUGCCGGUGUGAGUAGCGAAAGAUGGGUGAGAAUCCCAUCCACCGAUUGACUAAGGUUUCCAGAGGAAGGCUCGUCCGCUCUGGGUUAGUCGGGUCCUAAGUCGAGGCCGACAGGCGUAGACGAUGGAUAACAGGUUGAUAUUCCUGUACCACCAUUUAUCGUUUUAAGCGAUGGGGGGACACAGUAGGAUAGGCGAAGCGUGCUGUUGGAGUGCACGUCUAAGCAGUGAGACUGAAUGGUAGGCAAAUCCGCCAUUCUCAAGGUUGAGCUGUGAUGGGGAGAGGAAACAUGUUUUCCUCGAGUCGUUGAUUUCACACUGUCGAGAAAAGCCUCUAGCUAGAUAACUGGUGCCCGUACCGCAAACCGACACAGGUAGUCAAGAUGAGAAUUCUAAGGUGAGCGAGCGAACUCUCGUUAAGGAACUCGGCAAAAUGACCCCGUAACUUCGGGAGAAGGGGUGCUCUUUAGGGUUCACGCCCAGAAGAGCCGCAGUGAAUAGGCCCAAGCGACUGUUUAUCAAAAACACAGGUCUCUGCUAAACCGUAAGGUGAUGUAUAGGGGCUGACGCCUGCCCGGUGCUGGAAGGUUAAGAGGAGUGGUUAGCUUCUGCGAAGCUACGAAUCGAAGCCCCAGUAAACGGCGGCCGUAACUAUAACGGUCCUAAGGUAGCGAAAUUCCUUGUCGGGUAAGUUCCGAC
rnacentral:rRNA from 1 species